GAUGAACGCUGGCGGCGUGCCUAAUACAUGCAAGUCGAGCGAACGGACGAGAAGCUUGCUUCUCUGAUGUUAGCGGCGGACGGGUGAGUAACACGUGGAUAACCUACCUAUAAGACUGGGAUAACUUCGGGAAACCGGAGCUAAUACCGGAUAAUAUGUUGAACCGCAUGGUUCAAAAGUGAAAGACGGUCUUGCUGGCACUUAUAGAUGGAGCCGCGCUGCAUUAGCUAGUUGGUAAGGUAACGGCUUACCAAGGCAACGAUGCAUAGCCGACCUGAGAGGGUGAUCGGCCACACUGGAACUGAGACACGGUCCAGACUCCUACGGGAGGCAGCAGUAGGGAAUCUUCCGCAAUGGGCGAAAGCCUGACGGAGCAACGCCGCGUGAGUGAUGAAGGUCUUCGGAUCGUAAAACUCUGUUAUUAGGGAAGAACAUAUGUGUAAGUAACUGUGCACAUCUUGACGGUACCUAAUCAGAAAGCCCCGGCUAACUACGUG
rnacentral:rRNA from 1 species